GAUGAAUGCUGGCGGCGUGCCUAACACAUGCAAGUCGAGCGGCAGCGAGUUUUACACUGAAUUCUGGAAGCUUCUGAGUAGUACAGAAGAUUCAUUCAAGAGUUUUGUGUAAAAUGUCGGCGAGCGGCGGACGGCUGAGUAACGCGUAGGAAUUUGCCCCAAAGUGAGGAAUAACUGCCCGAAAGGGUAGCUAAUGCCGCAUAUGGUCUUCGGAUUAAAGCCUUCGGGCGCUUUGGGAGAAGCCUGCGUUGGAUUAGGUAGUUGGUAGGGUAAUGGCCUACCAAGCCGAAGAUCCAUAGCUGGUCUGAGAGGAUGAUCAGCCAGACUGGAACUGAGACACGGUCCAGACUCCUACGGGAGGCAGCAGUGAGGAAUCUUCAACAAUGGGCGAAAGCCUGAUGGAGCAACGCCGCGUGAAGGAUGAAGGCCUUCGGGUUGUAAACUUCUUUUAUGAGUGAAGAAUAUGACGGUAACUCAUGAAUAAGCACCGGAUAACUAAGUG
rnacentral:rRNA from 1 species